AAAAAAAAAAAAAAAGAAACAAAACAACGACGUACUUGGGAAAAGAAAAUUGGCUUUAUACAACAAGGUCCACACGAUUCUGAAUUAUCUUUUUUUUCAAAUAUUCAUAUUUUCAUAUAUUUAACUUAGUGAAGUAAACAAGAGAGAAUAAUUCACACAUUAGUGCAAACAUAAAAGGCAUACCAGUUCUCUUUUUCCCACCUAAUGGGGCAAAAGUAGAAAGGAUUGAGAAGAGCCAAGCAGUAUAACCAUGCAUAUACAAGAGAAGCACUAAAAAAGAAAAGAAUCUAACAAAAAAGGAAAAUGAACAAAGACUGAGACUUACAGUGAAAUCGACCAAAACAUCUUGAAUGGAAGCAUAAAAUGGAAGGAGAGUAAAAGCAAGGAAAAUAAUGUACAGAACUCCUGAUUUUAACCCAACAAGAUUUCUUCCCUCUUCAAAUUCACUCUUGUUUCACUCCAACUACAAUCCCUACAUUAUGCUACACUGGCCUUUUCAUGCUAUAUUAAGAUGCUCCUUCCAACAAUUCCACAAUGAAAGUCCAGAACUUGUACCACAGA
rnacentral:misc_RNA from 1 species